AUUGAACGCUGGCGGCAUGCCUUACACAUGCAAGUCGAACGGCAGCACGGACUUCGGUCUGGUGGCGAGUGGCGAACGGGUGAGUAAUGCAUCGGAACGUGCCAUUGAGUGGGGGAUAACGUAGCGAAAGUUGCGCUAAUACCGCAUAUUCUGUGAGCAGGAAAGCAGGGACCGCAAGGCCUUGCGCUCUUUGAGCGGCCGAUGUCAGAUUAGCUAGUUGGUGAGGUAAAAGGCUUACCAAGGCGACGAUCUGUAGCGGGUCUGAGAGGAUGAUCCGCCACACUGGAACUGAGACACGGUCCAGACUCCUACGGAGGCAGCAGUGGGAAUUUUGGACAAUGGGGGCAACCCUGAUCCAGCCAUGCCGCGUGAGUGAAGAAGG
rnacentral:rRNA from 1 species